rnacentral:rRNA from 1 species
AAAUCGUACCCCAAACCGACACAGGUGGUCAGGUAGAGAAUACCAAGGCGCUUGAGAGAACUCGGGUGAAGGAACUAGGCAAAAUGGUGCCGUAACUUCGGGAGAAGGCACGCUGACAUGUAGGUGAAGCCCCUGCGGGUGGAGCUGAAGUCAGUCGAAGAUACCAGCUGGCUGCAACUGUUUAUUAAAAACACAGCACUGUGCAAACACGAAAGUGGACGUAUACGGUGUGACGCCUGCCCGGUGCCGGAAGGUUAAUUGAUGGGGUUAUCGCAAGAGAAGCUCCUGAUCGAAGCCCCGGUAAACGGCGGCCGUAACUAUAACGGUCCUAAGGUAGCGAAAUUCCUUGUCGGGUAAGUUCCGACCUGCACGAAUGGCGUAAUGAUGGCCAGGCUGUCUCCACCCGAGACUCAGUGAAAUUGAACUCGCUGUGAAGAUGCAGUGUACCCGCGGCAAGACGGAAAGACCCCGUGAACCUUUACUACAGCUUGACACUGAACAUUGAGCCUUGAUGUGUAGGAUAGGUGGGAGGCUUUGAAGCGUGGACGCCAGUCUGCGUGGAGCCAACCUUGAAAUACCACCCUUUAAUGUUUGAUGUUCUAACCUGGCGCCAUAAUCUGGCGUGGGGACAGUGUCUGGUGGGUAGUUUGACUGGGGCGGUCUCCUCCCAAAGUGUAACGGAGGAGCACGAAGGUCAGCUAAUCCUGGUCGGACAUCAGGAGGUUAGUGCAAUGGCAUAAGCUGGCUUGACUGCGAGAGUGACGGCUCGAGCAGGUGCGAAAGCAGGUCAUAGUGAUCCGGUGGUUCUGUAUGGAAGGGCCAUCGCUCAACGGAUAAAAGGUACUCCGGGGAUAACAGGCUGAUACCGCCCAAGAGUUCAUAUCGACGGCGGUGUUUGGCACCUCGAUGUCGGCUCAUCACAUCCUGGGGCUGAAGUAGGUCCCAAGGGUAUGGCUGUUCGCCAUUUAAAGUGGUACGCGAGCUGGGUUUAGAACGUCGUGAGACAGUUCGGUCCCUAUCUGCCGUGGGCGCUGGAGAAUUGAGGGGGGCUGCUCCCAGUACGAGAGGACCGGAGUGGACGCAUCACUGGUGUUCGGGUUGUCAUGCCAAUGGCACUGCCCGGUAGCUAAAUGCGGAAGAGAUAAGUGCUGAAAGCAUCUAAGCACGAAACUUGCCCCGAGAUGAGUUCUCCCUGAGACUAUAAGUCUCCUGAAGGAACGUUGAAGACGACGACGUUGAUAGGCCGGGUGUGUAAGCGCAGCGAUGCGUUGAGCUAACCGGUACUAAUGAACCGUGAGGCUUAACCUU